CGGCGGACGGGUGAGUAACACGUGGAUAACCUACCUAUAAGACUGGGAUAACUUCGGGAAACCGGAGCUAAUACCGGAUAAUAUAUUGAACCGCAUGGUUCAAUAGUGAAAGACGGUUUUGCUGUCACUUAUAGAUGGAUCCGCGACGCAUUAGCUAGUUGGUAAGGUAACGGCUUACCAAGGCAACGAUGCGUAGCCGACCUGAGAGGGUGAUCGGCCACACUGGAACUGAGACACGGUCCAGACUCCUACGGGAGGCAGCAGGC
rnacentral:rRNA from 1 species